AAAACAUCGCCUCCUGCAAUAUAACCCAGUAUAGGAGGUCAAACCUGCCCAGUGACUACGGGUUCAACGGCCGCGGUAUUUUAACCGUGCUAAGGUAGCGUAAUCACUUGUCUCUUAAAUAAAGACCAGUAUGAAUGGCUAGACGAGGGCUUAACUGUCUCCCAUUUCAAGUCAGUGAAAUUGAUCUGCCCGUGCAGAAGCGGACAUAAUUAUACAAGACGAGAAGACCCUUUGGAGCUUGAGGUACAAGACAUAACCACGUUAAACAACUCCUUAAAAAGCACAAACUUUAUGAGAUAUAUGACCUUACCUUCGGUUGGGGCGACAGCGGAGCAAAAACAAGCCUCCAAGAGGAUUGGGAUAAACUUUCCUAAAACCAAGAGAAACACCUCCAAGACACAGAAUAUUUGACCUAAACAUGAUCCGGCUGCUGAAGCCGAUCAACGGACCAAGUUACCCCAGGGAUAACAGCGCAAUCCUCUCCCAGAGUCCAUAUCGACAAGGGGGUUUACGACCUCGAUGUUGGAUCAGGACAUCCUAAUGGUGCAACCGCUAUUAAGGGUUCGUUUGUUCAACGAUUAAUGUCCUACGUGA
rnacentral:rRNA from 1 species